GAGGAGAGGAAAAGAGCAGGGUAGGGGAAAGAGAGAUGUGGAGGGGGGAUAGAAAGAGAGAGACUGAGGGAGAGUGAAGGAGGGAGUGAGGGAGCGAAAGCGUAAGCGAGAAAGAGAGCAACGGCGAGAGAGGGGGGGGGGGAGAGGGCAACGGCGAGAGAGGGGGGGGUGGGAGAGAGAGAGCAACGGCGAGAGAGGGAUGGGGGGGUGGGAGAGAGCAAGGGAGGGGGCUGGGAGAGGGCAAAGGGGAGAGAGAGAAAUGGAGAGAGGGAGGGGGGUGGGAGAGAGCAAAGGGGAGAGAGAGAACUAGAGAGAGGGAGGGGGGUGGGAGAGAGCAAAGGGGAGAGAGGGAGGGGGGUGGGAGAGAGCAAAGGGGAGAGAGAGAACUGGAGAGAGGGAGGGGGGUGGGAGAGAGCAAAGGGGAGAGAGAGAACUGGAGAGAGGGAGGGGGGUGGGAGAGAGCAAAGGGGAGAGAGGGAGGGGGGUGGGAGAGAGAGAAGGGGAGAGAGGGAUGGGGUGGGAGAGAGCAAAGGGGAGAGAGAGAAGGGCCCAUCUGUUUGUCCUCACUCCUCAGAGGGAUGAAAGCUCAGUGUAUCAGAUGGGCAGGCCAGCUCGUUGAGUGUGACAUUGUCCAGAAAGACCACUUUGAAUCAGGCAACUCCCAGGUGCACCCAAGGUACCAUCAGCCACCAUCUCUUAUAGAUCUGUACCUCCUACCAUUUUCUAUGUCCUUGGGUGAUUGUUUGGCACCUUGGAAGUUGAUUGUCUUUGCACUUCAACAAAACAAAAGUUGGCAUAAGCCGCAGAAAUCAUUUUACCGCUUUUGUGAAUUCACAUCUAGCAGAUCUGCAUGUCUGUAUAUUGCACACAGCCUUAUCUCCACCCGGCACAGCCAGAAGUGGACUGACCACCCCUCAGAGCCUGGUUCUUCCCUCGGUUUCAACCUAGGUUCCGGCCUUUCUGGAGUUUUUCCUAGCUAUCGUGCUUCUACAUCUGCAUUGCAGUUUGGC
rnacentral:lncRNA from 1 species